GGUAUGUACUGUGCCAGGUCCUGAUCCAGGUAAGUAGUGAUCUCUAUCACAGUAUUCCACAUGGUGCAACAUCCCAGAUACCAAGAAGAACAGGUGAGCACAUGGCUACUGACCAGCUGUCUCAGAUCAUGUCAUUACCAAGAAGCCUGGUGUAACAUCCCAAGGAACAACGGAGUCAUCUUUUCAUGUAAUGAAGCUAAUGCAACAGUAAUAAGCAAUAAGGGACCUCCCAUGCUCCCAAGAGAGCCAGCACUUCUCAGGAAGAGCACUUGCCUCCCAAAAGGAGUUGGUUAGGAUUUCAUGAUGUAGAUGUCCUCUCAUCGCAAUGCAGUUGUCCUCUCAUCAUGAUACAAUCUCAUUGUGACGCACUUGUCCUCAUCAUGAUGCACGUGUCCUUUAAUAAAGCUCCACCUUCUUCUCCUACCUCAUCUCCACAUCUCAUAGGAGGUUGGAAAAGUGGACAACUGUACCACAAAUCAUCUACACUUGUACACACAGGAAACGACUGAUUAGCUCUUCCCUAGUGAGUACCAGGGAUUUAAGUGAAAGGGACCCUUUGUUGGAAAAUCGAUAAUAAUACAAUAUUUUUGUCCUAAAGCAUUUCAGACAUUCACUCCUAAGCUUGUCCGCAUGACUGUGUCCAAGUUCCCAGGCGCACCCACAAUAUGUGAGGAUGCCGUCUGCCUGAUAGGACGUUUUAUCCGGGGAAACCAGUCUCACGUGUAACAUUUUUAAGGUCCUAUUAAAUAAUCUCCAAUUCGGAAGUGGAUGAGCUGUUCGUGGCUUGACUGGAGGCUGCUUGUGUCACCAGUGAGUAUAUAACAGAAUAAUCGUUCUGGCAGAGAGAAUAAAACACACAGGGUGGUUAUAAAUCUCUUCGUGGUCAAUCACUGUAAUCUCUCUACAAUUAACAUAAAACAGGAGCCUCAGAAUGGAGCUAGAUAUAAAAAUACAGCCGCAUUAUGAUUAUAAUCCUAAUUUCCCACAGACGCUUUGCUGCUUGCCCAAUAUAAAUGCUGAUACAUUGACCUCGACUAAUAUGACCUGGCUAUGCUACUCACAGUCACUGACUAGAUUAACAUUGAAUGUGACGGCAGAUAAGAACCACCGGCCCAUCUUGUCUGCUUGUGUACACACACGGGUUAUUUUUUGUAUAUUUUUGGAGUGUGGGAGGAAACCGGAGUACCCGGAGGAAAGCCACGCAAGCGCGGGGAGAAUAUACAAACUCCACACAGUUAGGGCUGAGGUGGGAAUCGAACCCAUGAACUUUAGAGGAUCAAGCUGCUCUUUCAAUCAUCUGACUGAAAAUGUGAUCACUUUUAGAUCAAUACAAUCAAAUUCCUUAUAUAUUUUUGGCAUGAGUGUUCUGUAGUUUCACUGCAGUCAUUUGCUACAGUAUAUACCCUACCCUAUCUGUAGCCAUACAGUAUAUGGCUGUAUCUAAAGAAAGGUAUUGGCAAUAUGUUUUCAAUAUGUCAUUGCAUUCAUAGACAUUUACAUUUUAAUGUAUGUAAUCCCGCUACCUCUAUUUCUCUGAGCCCAAUGGGGGGUUUGCUCAUCAGAAAAUGGUGCGGCAUCAUAGGAAUUUAGGUGCAUAUGGGCCAUGGGGUGAGAAGUGGGAAUGACAUGUACAGUAACUGGGUAGUUUAGGUAAAUCAUAUGAGGGGACUAUUUUGCCCCAAUUUUGUCCAUUUUUUUUUAAUUGUUGGCUGUUUGGUU